UGAAAAAAAAAAAUUAAAAAAGAAAACAUAUGUACGUAAUGCUAACAUAUGUUCAUAUACAAUGUUAAUUUUAUAUGUGCAUGAAAGUUACAGAAGCAGCGCUCUUGUCGCCGCCUCUUGUGGCGGGGUAGCUUUCUGUGACCAGCUUGGAUUAUCCUGGAACAAAGAUCUGGAGAGCAGGAGCACCUCAAGUCUGAGAGCCUGAUCUGCACCCUGAAGUCCAGACCUGGACCCCCAACUGCCUUUUUAACAUCUCCGCUUGGAAGUCUAGAAAGCAUCCCAGAUUUGACAUGUCCACAAUGGAAAUCACGAUUUUUUUUCCUUCACAAGCCUGCCUCUUCCUUGGUUUUACCCAUCUUAAUAAAUGAUUCCAUUCUUCCA